rnacentral:tRNA from 1 species
GCCCCGAUAGCUCAGGGGAUAGAGCGUCUGCCUCCGGAGCAGAAGGUCGUAGGUUCGAAUCCUAUUCGGGGUACCA